rnacentral:rRNA from 1 species
GCAAGUCAAACGAGCAGUCACAUGAACUUCGGUUCGAGUGGUGGGCGAGUGGCGAACGGGUGCGUAACACGUAGGAAAUCUACCUUUAGAUGAGGAAUAACCAUUGGAAACGGUGGCUAAUACCACAUAUUGUUCAGGUAUCGCAUGAUACUUGAAUGAAAGCCUUGGGGCGUCUAUGGAUGAUCCUGCGGCGGAUUAGCUAGUUGGUGAGAUAAUAGCUCACCAAGGAAACGAUCCGUAGCUGGUCUGAGAGGAUGAGC